rnacentral:rRNA from 1 species
GAUGAACGCUGGCGGCGUGCCUAAUACAUGCAAGUCGAGCGAACGGACGAGAAGCUUGCUCCUCUGAUGUUAGCGGCGGACGGGUGAGUAACACGUGGAUAACCUACCUAUAAGACUGGGAUAACUUCGGGAAACCGUAGCUAAUACCGGAUAAUAUUUUGAACCGCAUGGUUCAAAAGUGAAAGACGGUUUUGCUGUCACUUAUAGAUGGAUCCGCGCUGCAUUAGCUAGUUGGUAAGGUAACGGCUUACCAAGGCUACGAUGCGUAGCCGACCUGAGAGGGUGAUCGGCCACACUGGAACUGAGACACGGUCCAGACUCCUACGGGAGGCAGCAGUAGGGAAUCUUCCGCAAUGGGCGAAAGCCUGACGGAGCAACGCCGCGUGAGUGAUGAAGGUCUUCGGAUCGUAAAACUCUGUUAUUAGGGAAGAACAAAUGUGUAAGUAACUAUGCACGUCUUGACGGUACCUAAUCAGAAAGCCACGGCUAACUACGUG